rnacentral:rRNA from 1 species
GGACCCGCGGCGCAUUUAGCUAGUUGGUGAGGUAACGGCUCACCAAGGCGACGAUGCGUAGCCGACCUGAGAGGGUGAUCGGCCACACUGGGACUGAGACACGGCCCAGACUCCUACGGGAGGCAGCAGUAGGGAAUCUUCCGCAAUGGACGAAAGUCUGACGGAGCAACGCCGCGUGAGUGAUGAAGGUUUUCGGAUCGUAAAGCUCUGUUGUUAGGGAAGAACAGUGCAAGAGUAACUGCUUGCACCUGACGG